CGGCGCCCGCGGCCGUCUUCUGCCGCGCUGACUCGGCGUUCCUGUGCGGCGCGUGCGACGGCAAGAUCCACGCCGCCAACAAGCUGGCGUCGCGCCAUGGCCGCGUCUGGAUCUGCGAGGUGUGCGAGCAGGCCCCGGCCUCCUUCACCUGCAAGGCCGACGCCGCCUCCCUCUGCGCCGCCUGCGACCGCGACAUCCACUCCGCCAACCCCCUCGCCCGCCGCCACGAGCGCGUCCCCGUGGUCCCCUUCUACGACUCGGCCGCCAAGUCGUCGCCCUCCGCCGAGUGCUCCGAGGAGGAGGCGGAGGCCGCUUCCUGGCUCCUACCCGACCCGAACAGCAAGGUGGAGGAGGAAUCCGGGUCGCCCGAGUACAUGUCGGCCGAGUACCUGUUCAACGAUAUGGAUCCGUAUCUGGAUCUGGAUCUCAAAUCGGGCGACCAGAAGCCGCACCACAUCGUUGACGAUGACCACAAGCAUUACUCCUCCGACGGAGUCGUGCCGGUGCAGAGCAAGACCGAAUACGGGUCGGGUCACUACGUACCGGGUCCCGUCGUCGACGGGUUCCCCACUUACGAAAUGGAGUACCCGGGCCCCAAACCCUUCAUGUACAACUUCACCUCGCAAUCCAUUAGCCAAAGCGUAAGCUCCUAUUCCCUCUUAAUUCAUUUAUUCUUCAAUUAAACCCGAAUUGAAAAUUAAUAAACUCAAAUUGAAACAGGUGUCGUCGUCGUCGCUGGAGGUGGGGGUGGUGCCGGAUCACAACGGCGCGGCGGAUGCGACGGAGAGCCUGGGGAAGAGCGAGAGCGUGGCGGUGGCGCUCUUCGGCAUGGACAGAGAAGCGAGGGUGCUGCGGUACAGAGAGAAGAGGAAGAACAGAAGGUUCGAGAAGACGAUUCGAUACGCUUCGAGGAAGGCGUACGCGGAGACGAGACCGAGGAUCAAGGGGAGAUUCGCGAAGCGCUCUGAGCUCGAGGUCGACUC
rnacentral:lncRNA from 1 species